GCUUUACUGUAGUCUGCUAUUGAGUUUCGGUUAAGUAUGCACAGGAUAGGUGGGAGACGAUGAGACUGGUCUUUCGGGAUCAGAGGAGUCACUGUUGGGAUACCACUCUUACUUAAUUGAAAUUCUAACUCUAAGCCGUGAUCCGGCUAGAGGACCGUGGCAGAUGGGCAGUUUGACUGGGGCGGUCGCCUCCCAAAGAGUAACGGAGGCGCACAAAGGUACUCUCAGAAUGGUUGGAAAUCAUUCAACGAGCGCAAACGCAGAAG
rnacentral:rRNA from 1 species